rnacentral:rRNA from 1 species
UACGUAGGGGGCGAGCGUUGUCCGGAUUUAUUGGGCGUAAAGAGCUCGUAGGCGGUUCGAUAAGUCGGACGUGAAAUCUCCACGCUCAACGUGGAGGGGCCGUUCGAUACUGUCGUGACUCGAGUCCGGUAGGGGAGUGUGGAAUUCCCGGUGUAGCGGUGAAAUGCGCAGAGAUCGGGAGGAACACCCGUAGCGAAGGCGGCACCUCGUGGCCGGUACUGGACGCUGAGGAGCGAAAGCG